rnacentral:sRNA from 1 species
UAGAUGUGUCACCCUUGGCGGCUGGAA